rnacentral:pre_miRNA from 1 species
UCGCUCGCAUCUCCUUAUCACUUUUCCUGCCCAGCUAUCGAUUUCGUAUCCGUUGGACGGAGAACUGAUAAGGGCACGCGAUUGA